rnacentral:rRNA from 1 species
UACGUAGGGUGCAAGCGUUAAUCGGAAUUACUGGGCGUAAAGCGUGCGCAGGCGGCUUUGCAAGACAGAUGUGAAAUCCCCGGGCUCAACCUGGGAACUGCAUCCGAGACUGCAUUGCUAGAGUAUGGGAGAGGAAAGCGGAAUUUCUGGUGUAGCAGUGAAAUGCGUAGAUAUCAGAAGGAACAUCAGUGGCGAAGGCGGCUUUCUGGACCAAUACUGACGAUCAGGUGCGAAAGCGUGGGGAGCAAACAGG